rnacentral:lncRNA from 1 species
UUCCCUGCCACAAAAAGAAAAAUAUUAGGAAAACUUUAGUUUAUUCUUCAUGUGAAAUUUGUAAGUUCUUUGUUAAAUUAUGUGACAAGUCUUAGAUUUAGAUUUACUCAAUAAAAGCUAAAGAAAAUAUUGCGCGACAAUUUUUGUAUUAGCAAUUCGUUUAGUGUCAAACACAACUUAUUCUAGCAAUAAAUAGCCAAAAUUAACCCGCUGAAAAUCAAAGAUCUGUUUGCAUUAACAAUCAAAGUGUAGAGGAUGAACUGGGCUACCUCAAAUGCCUUAAAUGCGACAUUCCAUUUUUUCAGAAAACAUAAUACGAAAAACUUUCCAAGUUGUACAGUUUAGCAAGUUUUUUUUUUUUUUUAUGCAUAUAUAAAUAUAGCAAUGCGGAAAAUUGACCCCGUAACCUGAUGUUGCAGUUCCCCGCUACGAAAAGAAAAAUAUUAGGAAAACUUUAGUUGAUUCUUCCAAUCAAAUUGGUAAGUUCUUUGUUAAAUUAUGUGAGAAGCCUUAGAUUUAGAUUUCAUCAAUACAAGCUAAAGAAAAUAUUGUGCGACAGUUUGUGUGUACAAAUCUCAAAUUUUUGUGUUAGCAAUUUGUUUAUUGUCAAAGCACAAAUUAUUCUAGCAAUAGAUAGCCAAAAUUAACCCGCUGAAAAUCAAAGAUCUAUCUGCAAUGACAAUCAAAGUGUAGAGGAUGAAGUGGGCUACCUCAAAUGCUUUUAAUGCAACAUUCCAUUUUUUUAGAAAACGUAAUAUGAAAAUUUUCCAAUUUGUACAGUUUAGAAAGAUUUUUUUUUAUGCAUAUAUAAACAUGACAAUGCGGAAAACUGACCUGCGUACGACCUGAUGUUGCAAUUCCCUGCCAGGAAAAGAAAAAUAUUAGGAAAACUUUAGUUUAUUCUUCCAGUCAAAUUGGUAAGUUCUUUGUUAAAUUAUGUGACAAGCCUUAGAUUUAGAUUUCCUCAAUACAAGCUAAAGAAAAUAUUAAGCGACAGUUUGUGUGUACAAAUCUCAAAUUUUCGUAUUAGCAAUUUGUUUAGUGUCAAACACAACCUUUCUAGCAAUAAAUAGCCAAAAUUAAUCGGCUGAAGAUCAAAGAUCUAUUUGCAUUAAAAAUCAAAGUGUAGAGGAGGGAGUGGACCACUUCAAAUGCUUUAAAUAAAACAUUCCAUUAUUUCUGAAAAGAUAAUUUGAAAAUUUUACAAGUCGUCCCAGUUUAGCAAGAAUUUUUUUAGGUAUAAAUAAGCAUAACAAUGCGGAAAACUGACCCAAGUACGACUUAAUGUUGCAGUUCCCUGCCAUGAAAAGAAAAAUAUUGGGAAGACUUUAGUUUAUUCUUCGUGUCAAUUUGGUAAGUUCUUUUUUAAAUUAGGUGACAAGUCUUAGAUUUAGAUUUCCUCAAUACAAGCUAAAGAAAAUAUUGUAGGAGAGUAUGUGUGUACAAAUCUCAAGUUUUGUUAUUAGCAAUUUGUUUAGUGUCCAACACAACUUUUUUCUAGCAAUAAAUUUCCAAAAUUAAUCCAUUGAAAAUCAAAGAUCUGUUUGCAUUCAAAAUCAAAGUGUAGAGGAUGGAGUGGGCCACUUCAAAUGCUUUAAAUGCUAUAUUCCAUUUUUUCUGAAAAUAAAAUAUGAAAAUUUUCGAAAUCAUCGUAGUUUAGCAAGAUUUUCUUUAUUUAUACAUAAACAUAACAAUGUAUAAAACUUACCUGGGUAUAUAUAAACAUAACAAUGCGCAAAACUGACCACAGUACGACCGAAUGGUGCAGUUCCCUGCCAUGAAAAGAAAAAUAGUGGGAAAAUUUUAGUUUAUUGUUCAAGUCUGAUUUGUAAGUUCUUCGUUAAAUUACGGACAAGUUUUAGAUACAGAUUUCCUCAAUAUAAGCUAAAGAGAAUAUUGCACUAUAGUUCGUGUACAAGUCUCAAUAUAAGCUAAAGAAAAUGUUGUAUGAUAAUUUGUUUGUACGAAUCUCAAAUUUUUACAUUGAUAUUUUUAUUUAUUGUCAGGCACAACUUCGUCUAGCAAUAAACUGCAAAAAAUAGCACGCUGAAAAUCACGAAUAAGUUUGCAUCAACAAUCAAAGUGUCAAGAAUGGCCAGGGCUGCCUCAAAUGUUUUAUAUGCACCGUUGCAUUUUUUUUCUCAAAAUAUAAUAUGAAAAAUUUUCUAGUCGUCCUAGUUUAGCAAUAUUCUUUUUAUAUAUAUAAAAACAUGACAAAGUAGAAAACUUACAUGAGUAAAAGUUGAUCCUGCCAGUGGCUGCCAUGAAAAGAAAUAUUAGAAAAACGUUAGUUUAUUUUUCAUGUCAACUUGGUAAGUUCUUGUUAAAUUACGUAACAAGCCUUAGAUUCCUUAAUAUACGUAAAGGAAAAUUUUGACGAUAGUUUGUGUGUAGAAAUCUAAAUUUUUUUUAUUCCCCAUUUGUUUGGUGUCAAACACAACUUCGUCUAGCAAUAAAUUGCCGAAAUUAACAUGCUAAAAAUCAGAGAUCUGUUUGAAUGAACAAUCGAAGUGUCGAGAAUGGUGACGGCUACUUCAAAUGCUUUAAAUGCUACAUUCCAUUUUUUCUGAAAAUAUAAUAUGAAAAAUCUCCAAGUCGUCGUCGUCCUGAAAGAUUUUUUUUAAGUAUAUAUAAACAUAACAAUGCGGAAAACUGACCUCUUCGUGACUUGAUGUUGCAGUUCCCUGCCACGAAAAGAAAACUAUUAGGAAGACUUUAGUUUAUUCUUCAUGUCAAUUCGGUAAGUUCUUUUUUAAAUUAUGUGAUAAGUCUUAGAUUUAGAUUUCAUCAAUACAAGCUAAAGAAAAUAUUGCAGGAGAGUAUGUGUGUACAAAUCUCAAAUUUUGUUAUUAGCAAUUUGGUUAGUGUCCAACACAACUUUUUCUAGCAAUAAAUUGUCAAAAUUAACCGCUGAAAAUCAAAGAUCUGUUUGCAUUUACAAUCAAAGUGUAGAGGAUGGAGUAGGCCACUUCAAAUGCUUUAAAGUCUAUAUUCAAUUUUUUCUGAAAAGAAAAUAUGAAAAUUUUCGAAAUCGGCGCAGUUUACUUAAACAUAACAAUGCGGAAAACUUACCCGAGUACGACCUGAUGCUUCAGUUCCGUGCCACUGAACUAAAAAUAUUAUGAAAACUUUAGUUUAUUCUUCACGUCAAAUUGGUAAGUUCUUUGUUAAAUUAUGUGACAAGUCUUAGAUAUAGAUUUCCUCAAUAUAAGCUAAAGAAAAUAUUGCACAAUACUUUGUGUACAAGUCUCAAUAUAGGCCAAAGAAAAUGUUGUAUGAUAGUUUGUUUGUACAAAUCUCAAAUUUUUACACUGAUAUUUUUAUUUAUUGUCUGACAAGACUUCGUCUAGCAAUAAAUUGCUAAAAACAACACGCUGAAAAUCAAGGAUAUGUUUGCAUCAACGAUCAAAGUUUAGGGAAUGGCCAGGGCUGACUUAAAUGCUUUAAAUGCAGCAUUGCAUAUUUUUCUCUGAAAAUAUAAUAUGAAAAAAUUUUCUAGUCAUCCCAAUUUUGCAAGAUUUCUCUUUAUGUAUAUAAAAGUUUAACAAUGUAGAAAACUUACCCGAGUAAACAGUGAUCCUGACCCGCUACCAGGAAAAGAAAUAUUAGAAAGGCUUUACUUUAUUCUUCAUGUCGAAUCAGUAAGUUCUUUAUUAAAUUACGUGACAAGUCUUAGGUUUAGAUUUCCUCAAUAUAAGCUAAAGAAAAAGCUUGACGAUAGUUUGUGUGCACAUAUCUCAUAUUUUGGUAUUAGCAAUUCAUUUAGUGUCAAGCACAACUUUGUCUAGCAAUGAAUUGCCAAAAUUAACACACUAAAAAUCAAAGAUCUAUUUGCAUGAACAAUCAAAGUGUUGGGAAUGGAGAGUGCUACCUGAAACGCUUUGGCUUCUGCAUUCCAUUUUUCUUGAAAGUAUAAUUUGGAAAAUCUUGAAGUUG